rnacentral:rRNA from 1 species
UACGGGAGGCAGCAGUGGGGAAUAUUGCACAAUGGGCGCAAGCCUGAUGCAGCCAUGCCGCGUGUAUGAAAAAGGCCUUCGGGUUGUAAAGUACUUUCAGUCGUGAGGAAGGUGUUAAGGUUAAUAACCUUAGCAAUUGACGUUAGCGACAGAAGAAGCACCGGCUAACUCCGUGCCAGCAGCCGCGGUAAUACGGAGGGUGCGAGCGUUAAUCGGAAUUACUGGGCGUAAAGGGCACGCAGGCGGUUAAUUAAGUUGGAUGUGAAAUCCCCGGGCUUAACCUGGGAAUGGCAUUCAAGACUGGUUAGCUAGAGUCUUGUAGAGGGGGUAGAAUUCCAUGUGUAGCGGUGAAAUGCGUAGAGAUGUGGAGGAAUACCGGUGGCGAAGGCGGCCCCUGGACAAAGACUGACGCUCAUGUGCGAAAGCGUGGGGAGCAAACAGGGAUUUAGAUACC